AACAGAAGGAAUGGAACUGAGCUCCGAUCCGAACGAGCAACUGAAUCAUAAGUAUCAAUCUUUAUCGUAUAAAAGCAUCAGCUGGAAUGGAUUGAAGUGCGCUAAUGGAUAGAGUAGCAUUUCCUCAAUUUCUUGUUGAGCACAUGGGGCGUUUGUCAGAUUCAUUACUUAUAUACUCUCUCGAAACAAUCAAUUCAAGGCAAGCAAAUCGACUUGGUCUAACUACGUUGCUUGGACUCCGCAACUACUAUUAAGCAUUAUCCUCUAAGAAGAUCAGAAUUGGAAUGAAAGCGCUAAGAAUGGGAAUGAAAGCCAGGGCCCAACAACAAGACUAAGUAGAGAGAUAGGUUCGGUGCUAGUUGAAUUCCUUGUUUUAUCUCUCGGUGAUUGGUUUGACCUUGCUUGUCGUGGAGAAUAGAAUGUUAUCAAGUAAUCCCUGUAAGCAGUUUCCAGAGGAUAAGCAGUGGAAAGUGGAGUUUCAGUUUCAAAAGAAUCAUUAGCGAGGUAUUCUAGAAGCCGGUAACUAACACACACAGUGCUCUUUAUCGAAAUACAUAAUGGAACUAACGCACACUUCAUUCAAUAGAGUUCGCGUCAGCAAGGGAAGUUGAGGUCGAAAAAAGGGAUGCUAUGUAUUGACUUCAUUCUAUAUCCUAUAUCAGGUGCAAGAUCAUCAAUAAAUGUUUGACUCGGAUCAAGCAAAUCAACUUAUCGGGGUGCUUACGGAGCUCGGGGAUGUAAACCCAUCUUUGAUACUCAAUCAAGCUGUCAAUAAGGCAGGCAAUUGUCUUAGUUUAAGCCAUGUGAUACUAUGCCCCCUAAAACAUCAUUGGCAGUAAAGACCUGGAACUCGUAUUUUCCAGAAAGGAAAGGAGAGCACUUGGAAUGAAGGAUGAAGAUAAGAAGUUAAGUACUUAUAAAGAUGGGACAGGUAAUACUACUUACCAUACAAAACCCCGGGAUUUCAAAUAGCAAAGCAGACUUCCUAUGGCUCUUUUCACUCUUUCUACUAUACCUCUGUCAACUUUCAUCCGGCUCCUAUAUAUAUGGCAAUUUGCACUCUUUCUCCUCUUCUCUUGCUACUAGACUUCUGGCGCAUCUCAACCCGCUGCUGGCAACUGGCAACAAUUCUCUACUUCCUUUCCUACUACUGAUUAGACUUUAACUACUAACUAGCAAUUCCACUCAAAACCGGCAAUUCCACUAGUGCUACCAAUAAUCGAACUGGGGAUAAAGAAAGCAAUAGUACCUAGAAUUAACCUAACAAUAAGAAUAUUAACUGCACCUAUAAUUAACCUAACAAUAAGAAUAUUCACUGCCCUGGGUAUAGCACUGCCGCUCUUAACUCCAAAACGAACUACUUGCAUAGAUGACCAAGCUUGCCUACCCGACCUUCUAUUCUCGAUUACCGCCUAUUGACUCAUACCGAUAUAAGUCUAAUUCCCUGACUCCGUCCUUUAAGCCCAAUUCUAUGGGUUUAGUCAUACGAUCCCCUAUAUAUAUAAGAAUAUGCAGCCCCUUGCUUGAACUCUGAAACCGGCACUCCACUCCCUACUAACAAACAACCGCUCUUGUCUUAAAGCCCAGCUUGCUAGUUUUCAUCUUCUAAUCGUUAGGGAACCCCACUAAGCUAGGAUAGAAUCAAGCUCAACAGUAAUAGAAUGAAGGACAUGAAUUUGAAUAAUGGAUUUGAUUAGUAGAAGAACCAAAUCCCAAGCAUAGGCCUACAGCUCCUUACAUCUAAUUAUGACUUGACCCUUCGAUUCUUCCAUUACAGGCCUUAACUCUGCAGGUUUGGGCUUAACCACCCUCUGACUCUCCUUUAUCCUAGUCUACUCUUACUGACUACCAUUCUUAUUACCCUGACUUUUUUCUAUGAAACUAGUAAGUACAAGACUGGAACCGGGGAGUGCAACAACAGCUAAUCCGAAUUUGACUAAAGGGUAUGCUCCCCACUACGCGAAUGUAACUGGUGGGUAUCAGCCUUUAACUACGGGGGUAUAUAUCGGAGUGGACUACUUCCCUAUAAGCUAAAACAAAGAAAUUAUACCUUCCCCACUACCUGGAACCUAGCUUUCCUACCUAUUAACCUGUCCUUACUCGAUCUGAUUCCCCCGCUCCUAAAUCUCAUUCUGACUACUCGGCUUCUCAGCCUACCGUCCCUAACUCUCAAACUUCACCCCUGUGGAACCAACCCACUCCUAUGUUUGAUAGUCAGUCUUCCUUUCCUUUAGCUAAGUCUACUACUUAUUCCGCUCUUGGCCUUAAGUCUUCCUUGAAAAUGGAAACUCUCUUCUCUCACUCUUG